CCUACGGGCGGCAGCAGUGGGGAAUAUUGGACAAUGGGCGAAAGCCUGAUCCAGCCAUGCCGCGUGUGUGAAGAAGGCCUUCGGGUUGUAAAGCACUUUCAGUGGGGAAGAAAGCCUUGGGGCUAAUACCCUCGAGGAAGGACAUCACCCACAGAAGAAGCACCGGCUAACUCCGUGCCAGCAGCCGCGGUAAUACGGAGGGUGCGAGCGUUAAUCGGAAUUACUGGGCGUAAAGCGCGUGUAGGCGGUCUGAUAAGCCGGUUGUGAAAGCCCCGGGCUCAACCUGGGAACGGCAUCCGGAACUGUCAGGCUAGAGUGCAGGAGAGGAAGGUAGAAUUCCCGGUGUAGCGGUGAAAUGCGUAGAGAUCGGGAGGAAUACCAGUGGCGAAGGCGGCCUUCUGGACUGACACUGACGCUGAGGUGCGAAAGCGUGGGUAGCAAACAGGAUUAGAUACCCCUGUAGUC
rnacentral:rRNA from 1 species